rnacentral:rRNA from 1 species
GUCCAGACUCCUACGGGAGGCAGCAGUGGGGAAUAUUGCACAAUGGGGGAAACCCUGAUGCAGCGACGCCGCGUGAGUGAAGAAGUAUUUCGGUAUGUAAAGCUCUAUCAGCAGGGAAGAAAAUGACGGUACCUGACUAAGAAGCCCCGGCUAACUACGUGCCAGCAGCCGCGGUAAUACGUAGGGGGCAAGCGUUAUCCGGAUUUACUGGGUGUAAAGGGAGCGUAGACAGCAUGCCAAGUCAGAUGUGAAAGCCCGGGGCUCAACCCCGGGACUGCAUUUGAAACUGUCAGGCUGGAGUGCAGGAGAGGUAAGUGGAAUUCCUAGUGUAGCGGUGAAAUGCGUAGAUAUUAGGAGGAACACCAGUGGCGAAGGCGGCUUACUGGACUGUAACUGACGUUGAGGCUCGAAAGCGUGGGGAGCAAACAGGAUUAGAUACCCGUGUACG